CUGGCGGCACGCCUUAUACAUGCAAGUCGAACGAAGUAGUAAUACUUAGUGGCAGACGGGUGAGUAACAUGUAGGUAUCUUCCCUUUGGUGAGGAAUAACACGAGGAAACUUGUGCUAAUACCUCAUAAGUCUUUACGGAGAAAGCUUUAUGCGCCAAUGGAUGAGCCUGCACUUGAUUAGUUUGUUGGUGGGGUAAUGGCCUACCAAGACUUUGAUCAAUAGCUGAUCUGAGAGGAUGAUCAGCCACAUUGGGACUGAGACACGGCCCAAACUCCUACGGGAGGCAGCAGUAGGGAAUAUUGCACAAUGGAGGAAACUCUGAUGCAGCGAUGCCGCGUGAGUGAAGAAGGCCUUUGGGUUGUAAAGCUCUUUCGUCGGGGAAGAAAAUGACGGUACCCGAAUAAGAAGGUCCGGCUAACU
rnacentral:rRNA from 1 species